AUACGUAGGGGGCGAGCGUUGUCCGGAAUGAUUGGGCGUAAAGGGCGCGUAGGCGGCCCGGUAAGUCUGGAGUGAAAGUCCUGUUUUUAAGAUGGGAAUUGCUUUGGAUACAGUCGGGCUUGAGUGCAGGAGAGGUAAGUGGAAUUCCCAGUGUAGCGGUGAAAUGCGUAGAGAUUGGGAGGAACACCAGUGGCGAAGGCGACUUACUGGACUGUAACUGACGCUGAGGCUCGAAAGUGUGGGGAGCAAACAGGAUUAGAUACCCUGGUAGUCCACACUGUAAACGAUGAAUGCUAGGUGUAGGGGGUAUCGACCCCUUCUGUGCCGCAGUCAACACAAUAAGCAUUCCGCCUGGGGAGUACGGCCGCAAGGUUGAAACUCAAAUGAAUUGACGGGG
rnacentral:rRNA from 1 species